UACGUAGGGUGCGAGCGUUGUCCGGAAUUAUUGGGCGUAAAGAGCUCGUAGGCGGUGUGUCACGUCGGCCGUGAAAACCUGGGGCUUAACUCUGGGCGUGCGGUCGAUACGGGCAUCACUAGAGUUCGGCAGGGGAGGACUGGAAUUCCUGGUGUAGCGGUGAAAUGCGCAGAUAUCAGGAGGAACACCGGUGGCGAAGGCGGCGACCUGGUCCAUUACUGACGCUGAGGCGCGACAGCGUGGGGAGCAAACAGG
rnacentral:rRNA from 1 species